rnacentral:rRNA from 1 species
UACGGAGGGUGCAAGCGUUGUCCGGAUUUAUUGGGUUCAAAGGGUGCGUAGGCGGCUUGAUAAGUCCGUGGUGAAAGCCAACAGCUCAACUGUUGAACUGCCAUGGAUACUGUCAGGCUUGAGUACAGACGAGGUAGGCGGAAUUGAUGGUGUAGCGGUGAAAUGCAUAGAUACCAUCAAGAACACCGAUUGCGAAGGCAGCUUACUAGGCUGUAACUGACGCUGAGGCACGAAAGCGUGGGGAGCGAACAGG